UACGUAGGUGGCAAGCGUUGUCCGGAUUUAUUGGGUUUAAAGGGUGCGUAGGCGGUUUUCUAAGUCAGCAGUGAAAUACGGCAGCUCAACUGUCGAGGUGCUGUUGAUACUGGGGAACUUGAGUACUGAUGAGGUAGGCGGAAUGGACGGUGUAGCGGUGAAAUGCUUAGAGAUCGUCCAGAACACCGAUAGCGAAGGCAGCUUACUAAGAAGUAACUGACGCUGAGGCACGAAAGUGUGGGGAUCAAACAGG
rnacentral:rRNA from 1 species